rnacentral:rRNA from 1 species
AUUUUUAUUGAGAGUUUGAUCCUGGCUCAGGAUGAACGCUGGCGGCAUGCCUAAGACAUGCAAGUCGUACGAAGGGGCCCAAUGAAAAGAAUUGAAGUUAAGAGUGCUUGCACAAUUAAUCGAUUUUCUUGGAUUUGGAUUUUCCCCUUAGUGGCAAACGGGUGAGUAACACGUGGGUUACCUACCUCUAAGAUGGGGAUAACAGUUGGAAACGACUGAU